rnacentral:rRNA from 1 species
GGGAAUAUUGCGCAAUGGAGGAAACUCUGACGCAGUGACGCCGCGUAUAGGAAGAAGGUCUUCGGAUUGUAAACUAUUGUCGUUAGGGAAGAAAAAGGACAGUACCUAAGGAGGAAGCUCCGGCUAACUACGUGCCAGCAGCCGCGGUAAUACGUAGGGAGCAAGCGUUAUCCGGAUUUACUGGGUGUAAAGGGAGCGUAGACGGUUAUGCAAGUCUGGAGUGAAAGCCCGGGGCUCAACCCCGGGACUGCUUUGGAAACUGUAAAACUGGAGUGCAGGAGAGGCAGGCGGAAUUCCUAGUGUAGCGGUGAAAUGCGUAGAUAUUAGGAGGAACACCAGUGGCGAAGGCGGCCUGCUGGACUGUAACUGACGUUGAGGCUCGAAGGCGUGGGGAGCAAACAGG